rnacentral:lncRNA from 1 species
GGAACGGUCUUUGCCCAGCACCUUCUCUUCAAUCUUGUCGUCGAGUAUUGCUUUCUCGGUGGUUCUUCUCCAAUAAAUGCUUGGCGUAGAUUAAGCCAAAUAAGCCAUGUACCAAGUGUUGGAUGGGAAAUCACGAGUUUGGGCCUUCUUUUAUGGUCCAGACGCCAAUGAAGAACCCUGGCAUGUUGGAAGGUCCAAACUACUUAUCUUAUUGACCAGACUAGCAAGCCUAAUCGAUUCAUUUGAUUCUUUCAGAUUUGAUUGAGUGCUUAUCAUUUUUUGAAAUAUUUUAGAUC